rnacentral:rRNA from 1 species
UACAGAGGUCUCAAGCGUUGUUCGGAUUCAUUGGGCGUAAAGGGCGCGUAGGCUGCGGGGUAAGUCGGGUGUGAAAUCUCGGAGCUCAACUCCGAAAUUGCACUGGAUACUGCUCUGCUAGAGGGCUGGAGAGGAGAUCGGAAUUCACGGUGUAGCAGUGAAAUGCGUAGAUAUCGUGAGGAAGACCAGUGGCGAAGGCGGAUCUCUGGACAGCUCCUGACGCUGAGGCGCGAAGGCUAGGGGAGCAAACGGG